rnacentral:rRNA from 1 species
CACGUAGGGCGCGAGCGUUGUCCGGAAUUAUUGGGCGUAAAGAGCUCGUAGGCGGCCUGUUGCGUCCGCUGUGAAAGCCCGGGGCUUAACCCCGGGUCUGCAGUGGAUACGGGCAGGCUAGAGGUAGGUAGGGGAGAAUGGAAUUCCCGGUGUAGCGGUGAAAUGCGCAGAUAUCGGGAGGAACACCGGUGGCGAAGGCGGUUCUCUGGGCCUUACCUGACGCUGAGGAGCGAAAGCGUGGGGAGCGAACUGG